CGACGCCGCCCGCCGCCGGCCACCACCCUGCGCCGCCCGCCGCCGGCCACCACCACGCGUCGCCUCGCCUCGGCCACCACACGCCCCGCCUCGGCCACCACGAGCCGGCACCGGAUCCAGACCACGGUGGGCCCCCGCGAUGUUCCGGCGCCGGAUCCAGGCCAUAGCGACCCCCCACGACACCCUGCUAUGAGAGCCAGGCCGCGCCGGCCUCCCGCGCCGCCGCCCCACCUACUCCCCCCGCGCCGCCGCGGCGCCAUCGUCCGGAUGCGCCUCCGUCGCGCACCGCACCGCUGUGGGAGGACACCAGCCGGGGGCAACCCUGCACGGCCCUCCUAGCUUGCGAGGAUGGGCGCGCGACUGGAUCAAAUCGAGGCUGAAGGCCUCCUUCCUCGCACCGCGACUUGUGUGGCGGCGGUGACCCAUGUUCCCCUCCUCCCUCAACCCCCUUCUAGUCGCCCGACGAGCUGCCCCUCCACCCCUUGCAGUUCACCGACUCGUGCGUCCAGUCCAUUGUGGGCAAAGGCUGACCACCAUCACCGGCAAUGGAGUCCGGACGCAUGCGGUACACUUGCCGUGGUCAAAGUGUGCGGCUUGCAGUUUGGCACAAGAGGGUAUGCAGUGCAGUUUAGUUCGUCGCAGGUGUUCGCUGGGCCGAUGUACCUCUCGCUCCACCCUAUGCGUUCAACUCUACUCCUUGCAUGCAGUGCAGUUUUUUGUUCAUUUGCAGCUUCAGUUAGGUUUAGUGAGCUCUAGUGCGAUUUGAAUCUCCUGGGAAAGAACAGUAGCAAGCGUGUGCUAAUGUGGUUCAAUGCGCCAUGUAUAUAUGACUUGAUUGCAAUUUACUUUUUGGUUUUAGGUAUGUGCCUGCUAAUUUCUUGAGUGAGCUCUUCCUUCAAAACGGUGCAAAUUUCUUCUGUUUUGGCCGUCGCUUUUAUUUACAGUUAGGUGCAGUAGAGCUCCUAGCAGAUUAAUUCAGAGCGAAUUUGGGUGUUGUUGAUGCAGUGCGGCAGGCCUGUUUGCGCAGUCCAACACUCUUCUUGGGGAUGUUCUUCUGGUGAACCUCUUUUUUCCUAAAAAAUAAUGCAGUACAUUAUCAUCGACUAUGCAGUUGAGAUAUGGCCGUGCAGCUCGGAGAACCAUCUCUUCCCAUUGGUCGGUGGACCAUGGCCGUGCAGCUCGGAGAUGCUCGCCAUGUGGUUCCGGACUUGUGUGUGUGCAGUCGGGAGAGCGCCAUCUCCAUCUCUUCCCGUGUGGUCCGUCAACCAUGGUUGUGCAGCUCGCAGACGCUCGUCGUUCGGUUCAGGGCUCAUGCGUGUGCAGUCCUGCGAGGGCCAUCUCUUCCCUUGCUCGUAAGGUUCUUUUGAUUCUGUUCUGCUAAUUGAGAUUUUGUUUUUUUGGUUGGUUUUGCUGGUGACAAGGGUUCUGGAGGUACCUUCUGAAGAAGAACCUUGAUGCCCGGUGGCUGCAAGGGUUCCGUUGCGCCGUGUUUGGGAUCGGCGAUUCAUGCUACAAGAGGUUGCUGCAAAGAAGCUCCGUACAAGGCUUUCACAGCUUGGUGCAAAAUCGAUCAUAGUGAUUGGAUUGGGAGAUGACCAAGACUCUUCAGGAUAUGAAAAAGCUCUAGGUCCUUGGCUGCUGUCUUUCUGGAAAUCACUGAAUCGAAAAAAUCCAUCGCUUUUACCAAGAAUUCAGGCUCGUCCGCGGGCACUCGGACGAGCGUCCAAGCACUGCGAUGAAUGUCCCAUGCACAUCUGCGCCUCUACCACAAACAUUCGGAAAAAAGAGGAUUCCCCUAGUGUGGAAAAUAGAUAGCUCUGGAAUCUACUCCUCACAAUGGUUAUAUGCUGCUUUCAACUUCUCUGUGUAGUGAGUUGUAUUUUGUGUGUGGAUGAUUGUAACAUGGAGACAGAAGAAAAAAGAAAGGGAUGCAUUUUUGUUACGCUGCAUCGUGCGUUAUUGCUCAGUUUGUAAUUUCUUUCAUUGUAAAUGCAGUGAGCUUGGUGAA